ACAUUUCAAUGCGUACAAAACUGACAAGUUCUACUUCAAAUUGGUUGAAAGUUUAUUACACGCUCAAAAGAAGUUAUGUAGAGUGGCUCUUACUGUACUGGCGAGGUUAAUAAUAUGGAUCUACUAGAAUCAUAAAUAUAAGGUAAAAAAGGUUCGCAAUUAGAAAAAAAAACGGGAGCCAGAACUUACUGGCGUUACUCAGAGAACACUUUGCGCCAAGAGGUAGACGCACUAAAUGCAGGUACACCCUCAAAAUCAGAUAAUCAUCCAAAGGUCUCAAGUUAUUAAGAAGAGCCUCUCAGUUCAAAGACAUUGGAUGUUGGAGCAAAUUGGGGAUUUUCUCUCAGAAAGGUUGAUAAUCGUGAUGUAAUAAAAUAAUUCUUAAAUAAGCAUAGAAAACAUAUUUAAAUAUUAACAAAUAACUUCCCAGAACCUGAUUUCUUAUAAUCAAUUAUAAAAAAGAACCACUUAAGCG